ACUUAAUUAGUUUAAAAAAAAUUUUAAAUUGUGGUUUUAAAGAUGAUUUAUCAUUAAGUA
rnacentral:tRNA from 1 species